UGGAAGUAAAAGUCGUAACAAGGUUUCCGUAGGUGAACCUGCGGAAGGAUCAUUACAGUGUUCCGUCGCGGCGCGCCGGGCCCCAAAGCCCGUGCGUGGUCGCGCGAAACCCCACCCUUGACUAUUGGACCUUCUGUUUCUUUGGCGGGCCCGCCGCAGGGCCGCCGGGAGCUUCGGCCCCUGGCCCGCGCCCGCCAGAGGCAAACUUGAACUCUUCUGUGAAUUGGCCGUCUGAGUAUGAUAUUGAAUCAUUAAAACUUUCAACAAUGGAUCUCUUGGUUCCGGCAUCGAUGAAGAACGCAGCGAAAUGCGAUAAGUAAUGUGAAUUGCAGAAUUCCGUGAAUCAUCGAAUCUUUGAACGCACAUUGCGCCCCCUGGUAUUCCGGGGGGCAUGCCUGUCCGAGCGUCAUUGCAACCUUCAAGCGCGGCUUGUGUGUUGGGUCUCGUCCCCCGUGGACGGGCCCGAAAGGCAGUGGCGGCGUCCCGACAUGGUGCCCGAGCGUAUGGGAAUCCUCUUCCGCUCGAAUCGGCCCAUGCGGCGCUGGUCGUAACCAAAUUUUUUACCGGUUGACCUCGGAUCAGGUAGGGAUACCCGCUGAACUUAAGCAUAUCAAUAAGCGGAGGAA
rnacentral:misc_RNA from 1 species